AUUGAACGCUGGCGGCAGGCCUAACACAUGCAAGUCGAGCGGUUGACGGGAGCUUGCUCCCUGAUUCAGCGGCGGACGGGUGAGUAAUGCCUAGGACUGUGCCUAUUGGUGGGGGACCACGUUUCGAAAGGAACGUUAAUACAGCAUACGUCCUACGGGAGAAAGCAGGGGACCUUCGGGCCUUCCGCUACGAGAUGAGCACAGGUCGGAUUAGCUAGUGGGUGAGGUAAUGGCUCACCAAGGCGACGGACCGUAACUGGUCUGAGAGGAUGAUCAGUCACCCUGGAACUGAGACACGGUCCAGACUCCUACGGGAGGCAGCAGUGGGGAAUAUUGGACAAUGGGCGAAAGCCUGAUCCAGCCAUGCCGCGUGUGUGAAGAAGGUCUUCGGAUUGUAAAGCACUUUAAGUUGGGAGGAAGGGUUGUAGAUUAAUACUCUGCAAUUUUGACGUUACCGACAGAAUAAGCACCGGCUAACUCUGUGCCAGCCGCCGCAGUAAGAC
rnacentral:rRNA from 1 species